rnacentral:tRNA from 1 species
GAGAGGGGUCGCCGUGACAGCAAGAACUGCUAAUUCUAGCCCCUUUGGUUAAAGUCCGAAGCCCACUCGAACAGG